rnacentral:rRNA from 2 species
CGAGCGGACAGAAGGGAGCUUGCUCCCGGAUGUUAGCGGCGGACGGGUGAGUAACACGUGGGUAACCUGCCUGUAAGACUGGGAUAACUCCGGGAAACCGGAGCUAAUACCGGAUAGUUCCUUGAACCGCAUGGUUCAAGGAUGAAAGACGGUUUCGGCUGUCACUUACAGAUGGACCCGCGGCGCAUUAGCUAGUUGGUGAGGUAACGGCUCACCAAGGCGACGAUGCGUAGCCGACCUGAGAGGGUGAUCGGCCACACUGGGACUGAGACACGGCCCAGACUCCUACGGGAGGCAGCAGUAGGGAAUCUUCCGCAAUGGACGAAAGUCUGACGGAGCAACGCCGCGUGAGUGAUGAAGGUUUUCGGAUCGUAAAGCUCUGUUGUUAGGGAAGAACAAGUGCAAGAGUAACUGCUUGCACCUUGACGGUACCUAACCAGAAAGCCACGGCUAACUACGUGCCAGCAGCCGCGGUAAUACAUAGGUGGCAAGCGUUGUCCGGAAUUAUCGGGAGUAGCGGACUCGCAGGCGGUCUCUGUUCUCGGACGGGAACUACCAGGGGUAUCAACCGGGGAGGGUCAUUGGAAACUGGGAAACUUGAGUGCAGAAGAGGAGAGUGGAAUUCCACGUGUAGCGGUGAAAUGCGUAGAGAUGUGGAGGAACACCAGUGGCGAAGGCGACUCUCUGGUCUGUAACUGACGCUGAGGAGCGAAAGCGUGGGGAGCGAACAGGAUUAGAUACCCUGGUAGUCCACGCCGUAAACGAUGAGUGCUAAGUGUUAGGGGGUUUCCGCCCCUUAGUGCUGCAGCUAACGCAUUAAGCACUCCGCCUGGGGAGUACGGUCGCAAGACUGAAACUCAAAGGAAUUGACGGGGGCCCGCACAAGCGGUGGAGCAUGUGGUUUAAUUCGAAGCAACGCGAAGAACCUUACCAGGUCUUGACAUCCUCUGACAACCCUAGAGAUAGGGCUUUCCCUUCGGGGACAGAGUGACAGGUGGUGCAUGGUUGUCGUCAGCUCGUGUCGUGAGAUGUUGGGUUAAGUCCCGCAACGAGCGCAACCCUUGAUCUUAGUUGCCAGCAUUCAGUUGGGCACUCUAAGGUGACUGCCGGUGACAAACCGGAGGAAUGUGGAGAUGACGUCUAAUCAUCAUGCUCCUUAUGACCUGGGCUACACACGUGCUACAAUGGACAGAACAAAGGGCUGCGAGACCGCCCGGUUUACCCAAUCCCACA